rnacentral:rRNA from 1 species
GUGGGGAAUCUUAGACAAUGGGGGAAACCCUGAUCUAGCCAUGCCGCGUGAGCGAUGAAGGCCUUAGGGUUGUAAAGCUCUUUCAGCUGGGAAGAUAAUGACGGUACCAGCAGAAGAAGCCCCGGCUAACUCCGUGCCAGCAGCCGCGGUAAUACGGAGGGGGCUAGCGUUGUUCGGAAUUACUGGGCGUAAAGCGCGCGUAGGCGGACCAGAAAGUUGGAGGUGAAAUCCCAGGGCUCAACCUUGGAACUGCCUUCAAAACUACUGGUCUGGAGUUCGAGAGAGGUGAGUGGAAUUCCGAGUGUAGAGGUGAAAUUCGUAGAUAUUCGGAGGAACACCAGUGGCGAAGGCGGCUCACUGGCUCGAUACUGACGCUGAGGUGCGAAAGCGUGGGGAGCAAACAGGAUUAGAAACCCUUGUAGUCC